rnacentral:rRNA from 1 species
UGGGGAAUGUUGGACAAUGGGCGCAAGCCUGAUCCAGCCAUGCCGCGUGAGUGAUGAAGGCCCUAGGGUUGUAAAGCUCCUUCACCGGGGAAGAUAAUGACGGUAACCGGAGAAGAAGCCCCGGCUAACUUCGUGCCAGCAGCCGCGGUAAUACGAAGGGGGCUAGCGUUGUUCGGAUUUACUGGGCGUAAAGCGCACGUAGGCGGACUUUUAAGUCAGGGGUGAAAUCCCGGGGCUCAACCCCGGAACUGCCUUUGAUACUGGAAGUCUUGAGUAUGGUAGAGGUGAGUGGAAUUCCGAGUGUAGAGGUGAAAUUCGUAGAUAUUCGGAGGAACACCAGUGGCGAAGGCGGCUCACUGGACCAUUACUGACGCUGAGGUGCGAAAGCGUGGGGAGCAAACAGG